GUCUGUGGCCAUACCACCCCGAAUGUGUCUGAUCUCAUCUGAUCUUGGAAGCUAAGAAGGGUCAGGCCUGGUUAGUACUUGGAUGGGAGACAUUGAUAGGUUUCUAGCAUUAUGUUUU
rnacentral:rRNA from 1 species